UGCCCUUCCGAUCUGCCAUUUCUUUGCAGUUUCUCCCAGUAAGAGGUGUAGUCUGUUUUGCCACUCCUCGAAUCCAGGCCAGUCAUAUGAUUUGCUCUGACCAAAAGAACUUAGCAGAAGUGAUGUCUUACCAAUUCUGGGCCUAGGACCCAAGAAGCCUUCUAGCUUCACUCACUCUCUUGGCACUCUGACGCCAUCUAAAUAAGCCUGAGCUGACCUGCUGGAGAGACCACACAGGGGAGGACUAAGCCAACCAGGCAACAGCCUGCCAAAUGCCCGACAAGUGAAUAGGGCUAUCUUAGACCAUCCAGCCCCAUCCAAGGUUAACAGCUGACUGCAUGCAGCCUCAGGAGUGACCCUGGGCGAGACCAGAACUGUCCACAUGUGCCCAGCCUAACCUGCAAACCCACAGAACUACAGGCAAAUGAAUGAUGUGCUUUUAGCUGUCAAGUCUGGGGAUGGUUUGUUACACGGCAAAGACUAACUGAUACACAACUCCUCACUUCUCUCUUGGUAAUGGGAUUCCAACUUUAUUUCAGGAACCAGUGCGCCAGUCCCAGGAGAUGGGAUAUGAAGGGUCUCCUCAAUAUGACAGUUCUGUCCCCUGCCAUCUAAACUUUCUUUGCAGCCAGGGGUGGGAAUGGUAGCCGGUUUGGGC